rnacentral:rRNA from 1 species
UACGUAGGGGGCAAGCGUUGUCCGGAUUUAUUGGGCGUAAAGCGCGUGUAGGCGGCUUGGUAGGUCAGCUGUGAAAACUCGAGGCUCAACCUCGAGCUGUCGGUUGAAACCACCUUGCUAGAGUCCGGAAGAGGAGAGUGGAAUUCCUGGUGUAGCGGUGAAAUGCGCAGAUAUCAGGAAGAACACCAAUGGCGAAGGCAGCUCUCUGGGACGGUACUGACGCUGAGGCGCGAAAGCGUGGGGAUCAAACCGG